rnacentral:rRNA from 1 species
UGGGGAAUUUUCCGCAAUGGGCGCAAGCCUGACGGAGCAAUACCGCGUGAGGGAGGAAGGCUUUUGGGUUGUAAACCUCUUUUCUCAAGGAAGAAGCACUGACGGUACUUGAGGAAUCAGCAUCGGCUAACUCCGUGCCAGCAGCCGCGGUAAUACGGAGGAUCCAAGCGUUAUCCGGAAUCAUUGGGUUUAAAGGGUCCGCAGGCGGGCUAUUAAGUCAGAGGUGAAAGUUUGCCGCUCAACGGUAAAAUUGCCUUUGAUACUGAUAGUCUUGAAUUAUUGUGAAGUGGUUAGAAUAUGUAGUGUAGCGGUGAAAUGCAUAGAUAUUACAUAGAAUACCGAUUGCGAAGGCAGAUCACUAACAAUAUAUUGACGCUGAGGGACGAAAGCGUGGGUAGCGAACGGGAUUAGAUACCCCCGUAGUCC